GACGAACGCUGGCGGCGUGCUUAACACAUGCAAGUCGAACGCUGAAGCACCAGCUUGCUGGUGUGGAUGAGUGGCGAACGGGUGAGUAAUACGUGAGUAACCUGCCCUUGACUCUGGGAUAAGCCCGGGAAACUGGGUCUAAUACUGGAUGCUACAUGUCACCGCAUGGUGGUGUGUGGAAAGGGUUUACUGGUCUUGGAUGGGCUCACGGCCUAUCAGCUUGUUGGUGAGGUAAUGGCUCACCAAGGCGACGACGGGUAGCCGGCCUGAGAGGGUGACCGGCCACACUGGGACUGAGACACGGCCCAGACUCCUACGGGAGGCAGCAGUGGGGAAUAUUGCACAAUGGGCGAAAGCCUGAUGCAGCGGCGCCGCGUGAGGGAGGACGGCCUUCGGGUUGUAAACCUCUUUCAGCAGGGAAGAAGCCACAAGUGACGGUACCUGCAGAAGAAGCGCCGGCUAACUACGUG
rnacentral:rRNA from 1 species